AACGAACGCUGGCGGCAUGCCUAACACAUGCAAGUCGAACGAGAUCUUCGGGUCUAGUGGCGCACGGGUGCGUAACGCGUGGGAAUCUGCCCUUUGGUUCGGAAUAACAGUUGGAAACGACUGCUAAUACCGGAUGAUGACGAAAGUCCAAAGAUUUAUCGCCAGAGGAUGAGCCCGCGUAGGAUUAGCUAGUUGGUGUGGUAAAGGCGCACCAAGGCGACGAUCCUUAGCUGGUCUGAGAGGAUGAUCAGCCACACUGGGACUGAGACACGGCCCAGACUCCUACGGGAGGCAGCAGUGGGGAAUAUUGGACAAUGGGCGAAAGCCUGAUCCAGCAAUGCCGCGUGAGUGAUGAAGGCCUUAGGGUUGUAAAGCUCCUUUACCCGGGAUGAUAAUGACAGUACCGGGAGAAUAAGCUCCGGCUAGCUCUGUGCCAGCCGCCGCGGUAA
rnacentral:rRNA from 1 species